rnacentral:misc_RNA from 1 species
CUGAAACUUCCCAAUGACAAUUAAUUUCCCACUUGACCUAUUUUCCUGUGAAAAUGAAAGGUGGCAGAAACAAAGAGGCCGCGUUUAACAAUUCAGAAAUCGGGGCUGUUUUCUCACGCCUUUUCGGCAACGCCUUAUCUUAGUGGCCAUAGAAAGGCUUUAGAAUAGGUGAGACUAAAGUGUGUGACACAGCAACGGGGUUCUCUGUGCACCAGUCACCCCGCCGCGGCAGAAAUAUGCAAUAUUUUCAUUGUGUGGGCUGAACGCGGCCGGAUCAGCUGUGAGUGAUUCUUGCUGUGGUGUGAGAGCGAGAGAGGAGGCAGAGGACAGAAUCUGUUUCACCCAUCCCUUAAAAACUGCUGCAGCAGGUGUCGGCCAGGCCUCCCCAACCCAGGUCCCGCCCACCAUCCUUCACCAUGUCCGCCGGCUGCUGUGGCACCAAGAAACCCAAGCUCAAUGGCGGCCCACAGAUGGCAAGGGAGACUCAGUCGGGAAUUGAACCACAACCUCUUCGUGCAUCCAUCAGGCACUGUUCCCACUCGACUUCGGCCAAGGGACAAAAGUGUGGAUAUCCUUAUGGACAUCUGAACCCCACACCUGCUCGCAAUCGUGCAGUUUGCUGCUACAAUGGGACAACACCCGCAACUAAUGGAACACUACGUAAUGGCCUCAUUCCCAUAGCCAGCCCAGAGAUGUGCUUCUACUGUUUUGAUGUCCUUUAUAGUCACUUGCACAACGUGGAACCCCCAAGCACUCCUGAUUUUACCAAUGAGCCCUUCCCUUUGUUUGUAACAUGGAAAGUUGGCAAAGACAAGCGGUUACGAGGGUGCAUGGGAACAUUUAGUCACAUUAACCUCCAUGCAGGGUUGAGAGAAUAUGCUGCUACCAGUGCAUUUAAGGACUCCCGGUUCCAGCCCAUUGGGAGAGAUGAAUUACCACGCCUUGGAGUGUCCGUCUCUAUCCUUCGGCACUUUGAAGAUGGUCGGGACUAUAGAGAUUGGGAUAUAGGUGUUCACGGAAUACGAAUAGAGUUCCUAAAUGAGCGGGGUGCCAAGAGGACAGCUACUUACCUGCCUGAAGUUGCUCCUGAACAGGUGUUGUGUAGUAAGCGGAAGAGUGCAGUCAUUGCUGUGGCAUGUGGUGCAUUGCAGUGUCUGUCCUGCAUGAUCAGCAAGUGCACAUCAAGUUCAACUGGUGACUUGGAAAGACAGCAUCAGAAACAAAAUGGUAAAAAUAAUAAACAAAUAUAAAAGCAGUAUUAAGUGAAGCAGCUUUGAAUCAUACGUCAACAUUUCAGUGGUAUAUUUCUUUCAAAGAUAAUAGAGCCCACGGAAGAUGAUCCGCACUCAGGGCAGCCGCAAGUUCAUGCAACAAGGACUAUUGACCACAUGUGUGAUUUGGUCUGUGCAAAUCAAAGACUCGCCAUUAAAGUUGUGUCUGAAGACCUUGCUAUCUCCUACAGGUCCUGCCAAGCAAUAAUUGCUGACAACCUUGGAAUGGUACGUGCAUCAUUGCAGAUAGAUUCACAUCUUCUCAAUGCCAAGAAGAUAACGAAGCACAACCAGGUGUGCAGAGAUUUUCACUGAACAAGCCGCAAAUGUUCCAAAUAUCAUAUGAAGCAGAGCAGGUGAGAAAACCUGAGUUUUUGGGGUACAACCUAAAAACAUAUACAGCAUUGCUUGACCCCCAAACAAGCAAAAUUUAAAUUGAAUCUGAAAGCAGUGCUGAUCAAUUGUUGACCAUGAGAGUCUGGUGCACCAUGAUUUCAUUUCACAAGAUAAAUCAAUGUCUCCAAGAAAAAGUUCAGAAGAAGGGACCAAUGAAUUGGCGAGACAAUUCAUGGGAGCUAUGCAAUGACAAUUUCUGUGUGGGAGCUUUUGGCAAAAUACAAAAUCAAAGGGCUUGAAUACACAGUAUACCCACUUUAUUUAGUUUUGCCAGACUGUCCUACCUAGGCACAAUAGUUUAUUCAUAGGAAAAUUUCCAGACAUACCAAAUAUCACUGAAAGUAUGGACACACACUACAAUAUAUUCCUAAAGAAGAGCACCAGAAGACUAUGAAGUUAUGACCAAGAUGCUAGAACAAAUGUGCAGCUGCAGAAGGGAAGUGUUGUACUUGGAAAGGGACAAAGUGAACAGUAGGCUGGGACCAUGAGCAAACUAUUGAUUCACUGCUCAGGAAAGGCGGCUACAAGGGGCCUGUGACUAGCGAAGUGCGACGCAGCAUUAAGUUAACUCGUUACCAGAGCGAAAAAAUCUCUGUUACAUUUCAGG